AAACCCAAACCCGACGAACAUUUUUUUUUGCUGUUACUUAAAUCAUUAAAAGAUUAAACCCAUCCACACACCACAGUUAAGAGUACAAAUUACGCUCCGUAGACUAUUCAAUUACAUUUUAAUCACAUUUGCAAUAAAAAGAAUUCAGACGAGACGAGGUUUCAGUUCCCAGGCUUACAACGAAGUUAGGAAGAGCAACGAGUACGAGCAACUGAAGACGAAACGCACAAUAUUUUCAUUUCACUUAUUUCGGCAGAGUCGAUUUGUUUAAGCGUGAGUUAGAAAAGGAAGCAAAAAGUUAUGGAUGCCCCAUAUUGAUCGUUUUAUUUUUUCGUAUAUGUUAUAUGUUUGGUCUGUUUGAUUGCAUUGGAAAUAUAAUAACAAUGCAGGUGAUAGACAUAAAAA